rnacentral:precursor_RNA from 9 species
CUGGCCGGUAAGGUGAAGUUCAGUCCGCUGUACAGUCUCGAGGACGAACUAUGUGCAGGAGGACAUUUUCAUCCUCGAGACUGUGCAACGAACUGAACUUGUUUCCUUUGACAGAAU